rnacentral:rRNA from 1 species
CGGACGGGUGAGUAAUGCGUAGGAAUCUACCAUAUAGUGGGGGGAUAACCUGGGGAAACUUAGGCUAAUACCGCAUGUGCCUUACGAGGUAAAGCAGGGGAUCUUCGGACCUUGUGCUAUUUGAUGAGCCUACGUCGGAUUAGCUUGUUGGUAGGGUAAAGGCCUACCAAGGCGACGAUCCGUAGCUGGUCUGAGAGGAUGAUCAGCCACACUGGGACUGAGACACGGCCCAG